UACGGAGGGUGCGAGCGUUAAUCGGAAUUACUGGGCGUAAAGCGCCCGUAGGCGGCUAAGUAAGCCGGUUGUGAAAGCCCCGAGCUCAACCUGGGAAUGGCAUCGGGAACUGAUGGGCUAGAGUGCAGUAGAGGAGGGUAGAAUUCCCGGUGUAGCGGUGAAAUGCGUAGAGAUCGGGAGGAAUACCAGUGGCGAAGGCGGCCUUCUGGACUGACACUGACGCUGAGGUGCGAAAGCGUGGGUAGCAAACAGG
rnacentral:misc_RNA from 1 species